CCGGCGCACGCGCCCUGCCCCGCCCCCAGCGGCCUCUUCGCGCCCCCCGCCUCCAGGCCCGAGCUCUCCGCAACCCUCAGCCUUGGGAGCAGCGCGUCCCCGGUGACUUCUAACACUGCAUGUCCGCCAUCACCUAGAUUCAAGAUGAAUAGUGAUCAAGUUACACUGGUUGGUCAAGUGUUUGAAUCCUAUGUUUCGGAAUACCAUAAGAAUGAUAUUCUUCUAAUCUUGAAGGAAAGAGAUGAAGAUGCUCAUUACCCAGUUGUGGUUAAUGCCAUGACCCUUUUUGAGACCAACAUGGAACUUGGGGAGUAUUUCAACACAUUCCCCAAUGAAGUACUAACAGUUUUUGAUAGCGCUCUGCGAAGAUCAGCGUUGACAAUUCUCCAGUCCCUUUCUCAGCCUGAGGGUGCCUCUAUGAAGCAGAAUCUUCAUGCCAGGAUAUCAGGGUUGCCCGUUUGUCCUGAGCUGGUGAGGGAGCACAUCCCUAAAACCAAGGAUGUGGGACACUUUUUAUCUGUCACUGGGACAGUGAUUCGAACAAGUGUGGUGAAGAUCCUGGAGUUUGAGCGGGAUUACAUGUGUAACAAAUGCAAGCAUGUAUUUGUGGUCAAGGCUGACUUUGAGCUGUACUAUACCUUCUGCCGGCCGUCCUCCUGUCCCAGCUCGGAAAGCUGUGAUUCUUCAAAAUUCACUUGCCUCUCAGGCUUAUCUUCAUCUCCAACCAGGUGUAGAGAUUAUCAGGAAAUCAAAAUUCAAGAGCAGGUUCAAAGGCUAUCUGUUGGAAGUAUUCCACGAUCUAUGAAGGUUAUCCUGGAAGAUGACCUAGUAGACAGUUGUAAAUCUGGCGAUGACCUCACUAUUUAUGGAGUCGUAAUGCAACGGUGGAAGCCCUUCCAGCAAGAUGUACGCUGUGAAGUGGAGAUAGUCCUGAAAGCCAAUUAUGUCCAAGUAAAUAAUGAGCAGUCUACAGGGAUCAUCAUGGAUGAGGAGGUCCAAAAGGAAUUUGAAGAUUUUUGGGAAUCCUAUAAGAGUGAUCCCUUUGCAGGAAGGAAUGAAAUAUUGGCCAGCUUGUGCCCUCAAGUUUUUGGGAUGUAUCUAGUGAAGCUUGCUGUGGCCAUGGUGCUGGCUGGUGGGAUUCAAAGGACUGAUGCUACAGGAACACGGGUCAGAGGUGAAUCUCAUCUUUUAUUGGUUGGGGAUCCUGGCACAGGGAAAUCUCAAUUCCUCAAGUAUGCAGCAAAGAUUACACCGAGAUCUGUGCUCACAACAGGGAUUGGAUCUACUAGUGCAGGUCUGACGGUAACUGCUGUGAAAGACUCAGGAGAAUGGAAUUUGGAGGCUGGAGCAUUAGUACUUGCAGAUGCGGGCCUUUGCUGUAUCGAUGAGUUUAACAGUCUCAAAGAGCAUGAUAGAACCAGUAUCCAUGAGGCAAUGGAGCAACAAACCAUAAGUGUUGCUAAGGCUGGCCUCGUGUGCAAGCUGAACACAAGGACCACCAUUCUGGCAGCAACUAACCCCAAAGGCCAGUAUGACCCCCACGAGUCCGUGUCCGUGAACAUUGCCCUUGGCAGCCCACUCUUAAGUCGAUUUGAUCUGAUCCUGGUUUUGCUUGAUACCAAGAAUGAAGACUGGGAUCGUAUAAUUUCCUCCUUUAUCUUAGAAAACAAAGGUUACCCAAGCAAAUCAGAAAAACUCUGGAGCAUGGAAAAGAUGAAAACCUAUUUCUGUCUGAUUCGAAAUCUACAGCCCACACUGUCCGACGUGGGUAAUCAGGUUCUUCUCCGGUACUACCAGAUGCAGAGGCAGAGUGAUUCCCGGAACGCUGCCCGGACCACCAUCCGCCUGCUGGAAAGCUUGAUCCGAUUGGCAGAAGCUCAUGCUCGCCUGAUGUUCCGUGACACUGUGACUCUGGAAGAUGCUAUUACAGCAGUGUCAGUAAUGGAAUCCUCGAUGCAGGGAGGUGCACUGCUAGGAGGUGUGAAUGCACUUCACACUUCCUUUCCUGAAAACCCUCUGCAGCAGUACCAGAGGCAGUGUGAACUCAUUCUGGAAAAGCUGGAGCUGCACAACCUCUUGAGUGAAGAGCUAAGAAGACUUGAAAGGUGAGAAGAGAAAUCCAAGAAAAGGCUUAUAAUGGAAAAUCCUUGUUUGACACUUCGUGAAAUGAGGGAAGUGGAAAUUAAGUGGAAAAUCUGUCUGUACUAUCUGUAGGGGAUUGUUUCAGUUGGCUGUUGCUGUAUAAUCAACUACCCCAAAGCUUGGCGGCUUAAAGAAACAAAAACAAAACCACCACUACCAUCAUUUUAUUGCUCACUUUUCUGAGAGUCGUAAAUUCGUUUAUCUCCACUCCACAUAGUGUCGGCUGGGAUCACUCAUAUACUUGAAUUUAGCUGGGAGCUCAGGUGGAACUGGAACAUCCAGAGUGGUUUCCCUCACAUGUGUUGUGCCUUAGUGGAGGUGGCUUAAAUGGCCAGGGGCUCUCUUUACCACAGGGGAGUCGGAAUUCUGACAUGGUAGCUUAAUGCUUCAACAGAGCAAAAAUGGAAGCCAGCAGGCCUCUUAUGAGCUGGGCCAGAACUGAUACAGCAUCAUUUCUGCCACAUUUUAUAGGUCAGAGCAAGACACAGGGUCAGCCCCCAUGCAAGGUAGGGGAAAAUAGACACCACCUCUUGAUGGGAGGAGUGACAUAGAUAUACAGGAAUGGGGGAAUUGAUGGCUGCCAUCUUUGGAGACCACCUUCUGUAGCUACAUUUCCUUGGCUUGCUGGUUUGGUGAGCCUCAUGGAGAACACUGGCAGGUUCUUUACUAUAUAUGGUAAACUGUGUAUUAAUUUACUGAAUUUAUACCACCGGUUCCCAAUUACAUGAGAAGCACCAAGGUUGGCUACUCACAGUUCACACCCAAGACAUGCAGUUUCCGUGGAAUCAAGAAGCCUUGGUAAAUGGGAUUUAUUCUGUUCACUACCACUACUUCAUCCUCUUCUCUUUCUUUGGGUCAAUAUAGGUAGAGCGGUGCCAUUUAGAAAGGUGGCUGGGAAUGCUGUUAAGAAAGAGGAAGUUGAACUCCAGGAGGUCAGUCUACCCCAGGCUAGACCCAGCCACAAAAUAUUAUCAUAAUUUGGCUUUAUCAUUUUUCCUUGCCAGGAAAGGACCAUGUGCAAGGGAGUUUACAUGAAGAAUCAUUGUGUUUAUUAAUAUUUUAAUUUUAUUCUUAAUGGUUUUAAAGCUCUUUUCCAAGCAUAAUAAAUGUUUGAUCUUUAUGUAACCCUGAAAAUCAGGUAGAAGACUGAGGCCCAGAUUGCUUUCGAGCCAGCCAAAUAGGAUGUUUUGAAAGUUUGAGAAGUGGAGAUAACUAGUAGUGACCUUUACCUGUGAAAGGCCCUCCUGGUCCAUUAGCAACAGCUCUGACCCUCCCUUCAGCAUCAUCAUUUUCCUUCCCUACAUGUGCAGAUUCAUGACCUUUAAAAUUUCACAUAUUUAACAGACAAAAAGUCUCCAGUGAGAAUGAUGUAUUUUGUUAAAGAGGGAAAGCUGUUUCUCCUCCAACAGGGUAACAACUCAAGAAUGACAAAAGCAAUGUUUCAAAACUCAGCUUUGUAAUGAUUUGUUAAAAUGUGGGAAGGAACAUGUCAUGUGCAUUACCUAGAGAAUUUUUGCCCAGACUUCAAUGUUUGCAUGCUCCCUGCAUACAUGAGCUUCUAAAAAGCUAGACUUUGAGGGUGUACCUGUGACACAUGAGUGAGCGAUGGCAGAGGUAUCCAUUUGGGUAUCUUCAUGAUCAGCGUGAGUGGCUCAAUAAUUGCCCUGAGUCUGGCAGCUGGCGUUGACCUCAAAGCUGGGAGCUGGUGAAAGGAGUUCCCGUGGAAGCAGAGCUGCUGCUGAAGGAGAAUUUAGAGACUGAGAUGGAUUGUUGACCGAACAAGUAUAACCUUGAGAAUUAUUUCCCUGGCUUUUCUCCUUUCACUCACUGCCUUCAUGUAGUAGCAUUCUCUCUCAAAUUCAUAAAACCCCAGCACAGCCUUCCUGGGGGAAGUUUGGGGACUGGCUUUGUGUUGCUAAUACCUAGUGCCCCUUGUAUAAAAUCAACCCCCUUUUCUCUUGGUCUGGUUUUUUAAUGAUCCAGAGCCUAGUGUUAAGAUGAAAGAUACUCCUUUGGUUCUUUUAUGGUUUGAUGUAGCUGAUCCUUUUUAGACCUGCCCUGGGCCCGGCUUGGCUUUUGGAAAGGCUGCUCAUUUUGACUGAGCAGAAACUGGACAUUUGGACUACCAAAAGCUGUCAUGCUGGAUUCAGGAAGGAAAGGAAUGUGAAGCUCAGAAUCAGUGUUAUGUGAUAGAAAAACAGUGGUUGAACUUACCAAAUUCAAAAUGACCCUCCUGGAGGGAAAGAAGAAGAAGGGUAGGUAAUGAUCUAAAAAAAUAGGAUUCUGCCUUAAAAUAUCCUUUUCUUCUGAUACAUCUUUGUAAUGCAGGGGCAUGUCCCAGUGUUGAUCCUCAAAGUAACAAAACCAGGUUGCCCUGCAAAUGACAAUGCAUGACCUCCAAGGCACGUCUAAGGCUAAUUUUGUUAAGUGAGAAAAGCCCACGUAGCAUAUAGUUUUAUCCCCUCAGGAAAGACUUGUCUAUUCCUUAAAGUGGUCAUAUAUGACUCAUCAAACUAUUGUACCUUUAUCACACUUUUCUUCUGGAAAAUGCUUACCAGUGACAGCCGGCCUCAAAUGGUGGUCAUUCUAUUCAUAUGAAAACAGAAUGCAAAGAGAUUGUCUUUUAGGAAGCUAUAGUAAAACUGGAAACAUUUUAUGUAGGGGAGAAUUUAAUUCCCAAAGUCAGAAUAAGACUAAAAUGGUAGGGCUAAAUUAUUCUAUGCCUUAAAUUCACUGUCUUUUAGAACAUUUUUUAUGGAGCUUUAACAAUUAUGAAUAUCUCUGACCCCAAUUUGAUGUAUAUUUGAUAGAAGUAAUUUUGCAAGCUAUUUUGGGUUUUUUUUGUUUGGCUUUGACUGUGGUGAAUAUGGAUUUUGCUGUAUUGAUGUGUCCAAAUCUAUAGUGAGUGAAUAUAACCCAGUAUUUUUAUCAUAAUUUUUUGUGGGUUUUUUUUCCUGAUCAUAAGAGACUUUCUCUUAUA